CAGUCGCCGCGGGAAUACGAAGGGGGCUAGCGUUGUUCGGAUUUACUGGGCGUAGAGGGCGCGUAGGCGGACUGAUAAGUCAGGGGUGAAAUCCCAAGGCUCAACCUUGGAACUGCCUUUGAUACUGUUUGUCUUGAGUUCGAGAGAGGUAAGUGGAACUGCGAGUGUAGAGGUGAAAUUCGUAGAUAUUCGCAAGAACACCAGUGGCGAAGGCGGCUUACUGGCUCGAAACUGACGCUGAGGCGCGAAAGCGUGGGGAGCAAACAGGAUUAGAUACCCGCGUAGUCCCUGUCUCUUAUAC
rnacentral:rRNA from 1 species